rnacentral:rRNA from 1 species
CCGCCGGCGACCGGCGCACGGGUGAGUAACACGUAUGCAACCUGGCCGUGACAGAUGGAUAACCGGGAGAAAUCCCGCCUAAUACAACAUAAUGCCGGGAGGGGACAUCCCCUGCCGGCCAAAGGGGCGACCCCGGUCACGGAUGGGGGCAUGCGGCGCAUUAGGUAGUUGGUGGGGCAACGGCCCACCAAGCCGACGAUGCGUAGGGGUUCUGAGAGGAAGGUCCCCCACAUUGGAACUGAGACACGGUCCAAACUCCUACGGGAGGCAGCAG